CCCUUAGAUGUUCUGGGCCGCACGCGCGCUACACUGACGAAGUCAGCGAGCAUGUCCUACGCCGACAGGUGCGGGGAAUCUUGUCAAACUUCGUCGUGAUGGGGAUUGAUUAUUGAAAUUCUUGAUCAUCAACGAGGAAUUCCUAGUAAGCGCAAGUCAGCAGCUUGCGUUGAUUACGUCCCUGCCCUUUGUACACACCGCCCGUCGCUACUACCGAUUGAAUGGUUUAGUGAGAUCUUCGGAUUGGCGCCACUGCGGCACAGCAAUGGGCUCGGUGGAUGCCGAAAAGUUGAUCAAACUUGAUCAUUUAGAGGAAGUAAAAGUCGUAACA
rnacentral:rRNA from 1 species